rnacentral:snRNA from 1 species
AUGCCUUAAACUGAUGAGUAAGGAAAAUAACGACCCGGGGUGACGCCCGUGUCCUCGUUCACAUCACGAGAUGAAUUUUUGAACGGGUACAGGUCUGCCGGCUCAGGUGACUCGCCUACUUCGCGAGAUGCCUCUCUGGACCAGGACCUAUCCC